rnacentral:rRNA from 1 species
AGUCGAACGAGAAAGUGGAGCAAUCCAUGAGUAAAGUGGCGACCGGGUGAGUAACACGUGACUAACCUACCUCCGAGUGGGGAAUAACUCCGGGAAACCGGGGCUAAUACCGCAUAACAUCGCAAGAUCAAAGCAGCAAUGCGCUUGGAGAGGGGGUCGCGGCUGAUUAGCUAGUUGGCGGGGUAACGGCCCACCAAGGCGAAGAUCGGUAUCCGGCCUGAGAGGGCGCACGGACACACUGGAACUGAAACACGGUCCAGACUCCUACGGGAGGCAGCAGUGGGGAAUUUUGCGCAAUGGGGGAAACCCUGACGCAGCAACGCCGCGUGGAGGAUGAAGCCCUUUGGGGCGUAAACUCCUUUCGACUCGGACGAUAAUGACGGUACGAGUGGAAGAAGCACCGGCUAACUCUGUGCCAGCAGCCGCGGUAAUACAGAGGGUGCGAGCGUNGUUCGGAAUUAUUGGGCGUAAAGGGCGCG